AAAAUAAGUGCUAUAAAAAAUAGCCGACAUAUUUUGCUUUCCGAGUAGUGCCUUGUUUCAAGGCACUUUUUUUGUUCA
rfam:Pasteurella multocida subsp. multocida str. Anand1_buffalo contig576, whole genome shotgun sequence.